GAUGAACGCUGGCGGCGUGCGUAAUACAUGCAAGUCGAGCGAACAGACGAGGAGCUUGCUCCUCUGACGUUAGCGGCGGACGGGUGAGUAACACGUGGAUAACCUACCUAUAAGACUGGGAUAACUUCGGGAAACCGGAGCUAAUACCGGAUAACAUGUUGAACCGCAUGGUUCAACAGUGAAAGACGGUUUUGCUGUCACUUAUAGAUGGAUCCGCGUCGCAUUAGCUAGUUGGUAAGGUAACGGCUUACCAAGGCAACGAUGCGUAGCCGACCUGAGAGGGUGAUCGGCCACACUGGAACUGAGACACGGUCCAGACUCCUACGGGAGGCAGCAGUAGGGAAUCUUCCGCAAUGGGCGAAAGCCUGACGGAGCAACGCCGCGUGAGUGAAGAAGGUCUUCGGAUCGUAAAACUCUGUUAUUAGGGAAGAACAAAUGUGUAAGUAACUAUGCACGUCUUGACGGUACCUAAUCAGAAAGCCACGGCUAACUACGUG
rnacentral:rRNA from 1 species